CCAGGAUUUUGAAUGGUUUGGCCGCCUUACAUUUUCAAAUAUAAAUGAAGAAUUUGGAGGCCCAGCUAGUCAGUGACAAACUAAAAGGAAGAAGGUGAUAUACCAUGCCAUUAAUUUUCUUUUCAGUUCCCAUGAUUUGGCUGUUUUAAGUGGUGGAAUGAUAAUGUAUUAUGUUUGUUUGUUGAACCUCGGGAAUAGCUUUGCAAAUAACAAACUUCAGUACAAAGAUGUCAAAGUUUUGAUAUAAACUGUACUAACUUAUAAUUGCAUAUUAUAAUUAUAGUGAACUAGAUAGGCGCUCACAUGCUAGUGGUCUGCGGUGACAUUUUAAGCUCUUGUUUAUUGUCUUUAAUGCCAGUGUGUAGCAGCCAGCAAAAUUAGCUCUACUUCUUGGUGUGAAUUUAUGAUGGUUAUUUAGUUUAUUUUAUUUUUACACUGCAUCAUGCUAUGUUUCAUGAGUAUAAACAUGAUAUGCUUGGCAUGCAGUUUUGGGGGAAAAAGGAAGCAUCUCAUGUGUAAAUUUCGUUUGACCUUGCAUUUUACUGCUUACUAUUUACUAUACAUCCAGAAUUGUACUUGGAAGUGUCAUUAUAGUUCUUUAGAAGUGGGCUUUUGUGUCCAUCAGCCAUGAUUUUGUAGAGAUGCCAGUUGAAUAAAUCUGAUUCUCUAAUCUCGCAAGGAUAAUGAUUAACUUCUGUAUAUAUAGAUACUCCUACAGCAUGUAUAAAAAAGAUAAUUUGAGUCAUUUCUCAUAAUUGGAUCCUCUUUCUUUCAUGUACAUGAAUUAUUUCAGCUUAUUUGUAUGUAGAAAGCCUUGGUUUUAUUUUCUAGGCUAAUUCAACUUGUGCAAGAUGUAGGAAAGUGAACCAAUAAAAAUUGUUUAUUGAACCAAAUGUUUGUAGUGUUUCACUGGAUUAAAUCUGUGGGCUUGUCACUAAUCGGAUACCAUUUAGGGGACCUUAAUUUCUCCAGCUAGUUUCCCUCUUAUUUUGUGUAGUACAUGUAGAGAGCUUAGAAGGAAAAGCAAGCUCAAAUACAAGCUAAUUUAAUUCACUGGCUAGUACAGUAACUUAGCGCAUUCAACCUGCUUAUACCAAUUUGCUUAUUGCCGUAACUUAUAUCACUCUAUUUCUCGAUCCUGCUUGAAGGUGCAACUGUAACUUUGCAUAUGUGCUUGUUCAAUACAGUAGCUUCAAAAUGCGCUUGUGUAAUAUUUAGUGUGUGAUUGUGGCCUCGUGCUUGUGUUUCCAAAUGCAGAAGACAAUCAAAUGGUCAUCAAUUCUGUUUGCUUUACUUCGGUACAGGAAUAGCCUCACUACAAGAUAGGUACACCUACUAAUUACUGUUGAUAUUUGUUAAUAUCUGUACAGACUUUGCAAACUAUAUUUGGAUGAGAAGUAAGAGAAGCUUGCUACUGUCAAGAUGAUAAAAAAUGGACAUGUUCUCUACUAAAGUAGAGAUUACUCUAGAGAUGGUACUAGUUGCUCUAUGUUUCAGAACAUAUACGGCUGUUGUAUGUGGUUGUUGUCACAUCUUCCUGUUUAUAGACUUUGCACAUUACAUUUUGAUGAGAAGAUAAGCUUGCUACUGUUAAGAUGAUAAAAAAUGGACACCUUCUCUACUAUAGUAGAGAUUAGUCUAGAGAAAAUAUGCGGCUGUUGUAUGUGAUUGUUGUAACAUCUUCCUUAAGUUCUGAAUGCUGCUGUUGUAUGUAACAUCUUACGAUCUAUGGCAGCUGCAGAUUUCCCAAAGGUGAACAAGUUCACUAAGGUUUGGAAGAUUUUCAAGCUGAUGAAGAUUUGGAAGACCUACAAUGUCCUGCGUCUUGUUUGUUGAACCUAGACAUUUGCUCUGCUCAUUUUGGUGGUGGUUUGGCUGUGUGGCACACAUCUAGAAGCAUAUGUACAUCUUUUGUGGCACUACUUUAGUUUGGUUGUGGGGUAAACAUAUAUAUGUACUCCUUUCGUGGCACAACCUCUACAUAUAUUGUCGUUAUGUUUAUCAAAUGAAGUUUAAGGUUUUCGAUGAGGCCUAUAUGUUACAUUGGUUGAAGUGCGUGUAUAAAUUGUGUGAUAUGUCUUGAUUGUCUGGACAUAUAUAAUGGAUGGAUAUUACAUAAUAGCGAUGCCUAGAACAUUUCGCUAGUGAAAUUAACA
rnacentral:lncRNA from 1 species